rnacentral:rRNA from 1 species
AGUCGAACGGUAACAUAGAGAAGCUUGCUUCUUUGAUGACGAGUGGCGCACGGGUGCGUAACGCGUAUACAAUCUGCCUCUUACAGGGGGAUAGCCUUUGGAAACGAAGAAUAAUACCCCAUAGUAUGUAUUUAUCGCAUGGUAAUUACAUUAAAGAUUUAUCGGUAAGAGAUGAGUAUGCGUCCUAUUAGCUAGAUGGUGUGGUAACGGCACACCAUGGCAACGAUAGGUAGGGGCCCUGAGAGGGGGAUCCCCCACACUGGUACUGAGACACGGACCAGACUCCUACGGGAGGCAGCAGUGAGGAAUAUUGGACAAUGGGCGCGAGCCUGAUCCAGCCAUGCCGCGUGCAGGAAGACUGCCCUAUGGGUUGUAAACUGCUUUUAUACGGGAAGAAACCCACCUACGUGUAGGUGGCUGACGGUACCGUAAGAAUAAGCAUCGGCUAACUCCGUGCCAGCAGCCGCGGUAAUACGGAGGAUGCAAGCGUUAUCCGGAAUCAUUGGGUUUAAAGGGUCCGUAGGUGGACAAUUAAGUCAGAGGUGAAAUCCUGCAGCUCAACUGUAGAAUUGCCUUUGAUACUGGUUGUCUUGAAUUAUUGUGAAGUGGUUAGAAUAUGUAGUGUAGCGGUGAAAUGCAUAGAUAUUACAUAGAAUACCAAUUGCGAAGGCAGAUCACUAACAAUAUAUUGACACUGAUGGACGAAAGCGUGGGGAGCGAACGGGAUUAGAUACCCCGGUAGUCCACGCCGUAAACGAUGGUCACUAGCUGUUCGGACUUCGGUCUGAGUGGCUAAGCGAAAGUGAUAAGUGACCCACCUGGGGAGU